UACGUAGGGUGCGAGCGUUGUCCGGAAUUACUGGGCGUAAAGAGCUCGUAGGUGGUUUGUCGCGUUGUUCGUGAAAUCUCACGGCUUAACUGUGAGCGUGCGGGCGAUACGGGCAGACUUGAGUACUGCAGGGGAGACUGGAAUUCCUGGUGUAGCGGUGGAAUGCGCAGAUAUCAGGAGGAACACCGGUGGCGAAGGCGGGUCUCUGGGCAGUAACUGACGCUGAGGAGCGAAAAGCGUGGGGGAGCGAACAGG
rnacentral:rRNA from 1 species